GUGCAGGCUCGCCUUGUCGCUGCCCCUCGCGGGGGAGAGGAAAGUCCGGGCAACGCAGAGCACCGUCCAAGCUAACGACUUGAUAGCCGUGAGGUUAUAGGAAACGUAACAGAAAACGACCGCCCCUGCUUGCAGGGGUAAGGGUGAAAAGGCGGGGUAAGAGCCCACCGCGGCGGCAGUGAUGUCGCCGGCCGUACGUCUGACGGGUUGCAAGACCGUGUAUACCGGCAGUUAAGGGUUGCUCGCCCGAUGUCGGGGGGUAGGUUGCUGGAGGCGGCGGGCG
rnacentral:RNase_P_RNA from 1 species